UACGGGGGGAGCAAGCGUUGUUCGGAUUUACUGGGCGUAAAGGGCGCGUAGGCGGCGUAACAAGUCACUUGUGAAAUCUCCGGGCUUAACUCGGAGCGGUCAAGUGAUACUGUUGUGCUAGAGUGCGGAAGGGGCUACUGGAAUUCUCGGUGUAGCGGUGAAAUGCGUAGAUAUCGAGAGGAACACCUGCGGCGAAGGCGGGUAGCUGGGCCGACACUGACGCUGAUGCGCGAAAGCCAGGGGAGCGAACGGG
rnacentral:rRNA from 1 species